rnacentral:sRNA from 1 species
CACCAGAGCAGCCGCAAGGCGGGACAGA